UUUUAUUUGAGAGUUUGAUCCUGGCUCAGGAUGAACGCUGGCGGCGUGCCUAACACAUGCAAGUUGAGCGAUUUACUUCGGUAAAGAGCGGCGGACGGGUGAGUAACGCGUGGGUAACCUACCCUGUACACACGGAUAACAUACCGAAAGGUAUGCUAAUACGGGAUAAUAUAUUUGAGAGGCAUCUCUUGAAUAUCAAAGGUGAGCCAGUACAGGAUGGACCCGCGUCUGAUUAGCUAGUUGGUAAGGUAACGGCUUACCAAGGCGACGAUCAGUAGCCGACCUGAGAGGGUGAUCGGCCACAUUGGAACUGAGACACGGUCCCAACUCCUACGGGAGGCAGCAGUGGGGAAUAUUGCACAAUGGGCGAAAGCCUGAUGCAGCAACGCCGCGUGAGUGAUGAAGGCCUUCGGGUCGUAAAACUCUGUCCUCAAGGAAGAUAAUGACGGUACUUGAGGAGGAAGCCCCGGCUAACUACGUGCCAGCAGCCGCGGUAAUACGUAGGGGGCUAGCGUUAUCCGGAUUUACUGGGCGUAAAGGGUGCGUAGGCGGUCUUUCAAGUCAGGAGUGAAAGGCUACGGCUCAACCGUAGUAAGCUCUUGAAACUGGGAGACUUGAGUGCAGGAGAGGAGAGUGGAAUUCCUAGUGUAGCGGUGAAAUGCGUAGAUAUUAGGAGGAACACCAGUUGCGAAGGCGGCUCUCUGGACUGUAACUGACGCUGAGGCACGAAAGCGUGGGGAGCAAACAGGAUUAGAUACCCUG
rnacentral:rRNA from 1 species